rnacentral:rRNA from 1 species
UGAACGAAAAAGAGGGAAAGAGCUUGCUCCUUUCCGGAAUUGAGUGGCAAACGGGUGAGUAACACGUAAACAACCCUGCCCUUCAGGAUGGGGACAACAGACGGAAACGACUGCUAAUACCGAAUAAGUUCCAAGGGCCGCAUGGCCCAUGGAAGAAAAGGUGGCCUCUACCUGUAAGCUAUCGCCUGAAGAGGGGUUUGCGUCUGAUUAGCUGGUUGGAGGGGUAACGGCCCACCAAGGCGACGAUCAGUAGCCGGUCUGAGAGGAUGAACGGCCACACUGGAACUGAGACACGGUCCAGACUCCUACGGGAGGCAGCAGUGGGGAAUCUUCCGCAAUGGGCGAAAGCCUGACGGAGCAACGCCGCGUGAGUGAUGACGGCCUUCGGGUUGUAAAACUCUGUGAUCCGGGACGAAAAGGCAGAGUGCGAAGAACAAACUGCAUUGACGGUACCGGAAAAGCAAGCCACGGCUAACUACGUGCCAGCAGCCGCGGUAAUACGUAGGUGGCAAGCGUUGUCCGGAAUUAUUGGGCGUAAAGCGCGCGCAGGCGGCUUCCCAAGUCCCUCUUAAAAGUGCGGGGCUUAACCCCGUGAUGGGAAGGAAACUGGGAAGCUGGAGUAUCGGAGAGGAAAGUGGAAUUCCUAGUGUAGCGGUGAAAUGCGUAGAGAUUAGGAAGAACACCGGUGGCGAAGGCGACUUUCUGGACGAAAACUGACGCUGAGGCGCG